rnacentral:tRNA from 1 species
AAGAACUUAGGUUAAACCAAACCAGAGGCCUUCAAAGCCUCAAAUAGGAACCACACCCCUAGUUUCUG